GGAAAUUUCAUAGGUUUAACAAGACAGACAAUUUCAGUGUGUUGUCCUCACAAGUGUGUGGGGUAAGGAGGGAUGAGAAGAAAACAGUGGUGCAUAGGUCCAUGCUCUAAAUACUUCUGGAAGUCCACAGGGUGGAUUCAGACCUGAGGCACAAUGCCAGCUGGAUUUCCCAGGGCACUGAGCAUGGCAGGCCCCUCUCCCAGCUCUCCUUCCUCAAACCCACCGGUGGGAAGACCAGUGCUUGUCAGGAGCAGCAGUGACCUGAUGAGUCUCCUGUGUGAUGGGGGUCCAGAAGGGGUCUGGGAGUCCUCCCUGGGAUAGUUUUUAGAGGUGUACAAGCUGGUGGAUGUGUGUGUGUGCCUGUUGUUGCUUCUCUGCCUGACAGGCCUGCAGGCCCAAGUGCAGGCAGAAGUGUCUGCGCAGCACGGAGCUGCUAUGAGUCACCUGUCCCCAGCCAUAAGGUGUGAGGAAGCAGCAAAGGCACAGCUGGACACUGCUAUCUGCCACGGCCUCCACUCCAUGGGCACAUGGAGUGAGGAGCCCACACCAGACCUCAAUACAGGAGCCUUGUGACCAGGCAGCAGCAAUGGCCAAGACAGAGGCAGAGAAAACUGCUUCCAGAGUCUCCCUGCUGUCCAAGAUAACCUCCUCCUGCUUGUCCUCCCGGGCAAAUGCCAGCAGAAGGAUCCCUCCCAGUCUGCCUAGUAAUCUCCUGAGAGCCAUCCUGUAUGGACUAACACAAAGCCUCCAGCCCACUGAUGGGAUCAAAUAGCAUCCAGGUUAAAGCCAAAACAAUGUGGAGAACAAUGGUUUCAAACUCAGUGGGGUUGGAAGUGGAAGGCACCACAGAGGUGACAUCCCUGAGACAGCACGAACCAGGUUUGAUCUGUGGCUGCGUAUCACCAACAAAUUGUUUCCUGACAAUUGUUUCCUUUCCAAAUUGGCUCCUGUUGCCACCCUGUAAAGAUUACUGUGAGUGGAAUCGAAAGCAGCUUUGCUCUCAGACCCUUCGCCGCUUUUGCUUGCACAGGAGGAUGAGCACAUCCCACGUGGUCCCAGCACUCGAGGCAGAGCAGGCAAGACUGUCAGGUGGAAGUAAGGGGCAUUUCAUUGUACGUUGAUGUGCAGUGGAUGAGGAGGUCACUGGUGAACUGAGCAUGCAACUCCACCGUGCACUUCUUCAGGCACUUCUGAGAACAGAGCUGUAUUUCGACAGGGUAAGGCUGAGCCUUGGUCAGGGACAUCUCUUUGUCAAGGAGAAGUGGAUGUUCCUUGUUUUCACACCAGCGGGAAGCAGAACACAAUGCGAGCGCUACCAUUGUCCUACUAUGCAUUGAAUACAUUGUGUCAAGUAACACUCAACCUCAGAAGGCAACACUCAGACACCGCUAAGUCUGCGCUACUCAUCCCACUUCACGUACAGACAUUCAGCACCAUUACGCGAGACCCCUCAGCUUAGCAGGAGCUCCAGCAGCACUCUGUGCUUUUGAAGUGAUACAUGGAGUGAGCUCGUGAAAGAUCCUCCGCUACUGCAAUCCCAGUGCUGGGAGCCGCGGUGCACCGACCACCGCAGAGUUACGAGCCACAAUUCACUCCACGGCAAUCUGCCACCAGAAACAUUUAAGAGCUAGAUCUAGCUAGCUAUUUAUAGAGCGACAUCUGAGCACCUUCCAAGCCGCUGGAACAGCUCAGGGAUGAAUCAUUUUGUCACUGGAACCAAGGGGUGGGAUUUCAAAGUACCUGGCCACGCAGAUCUGCACCCUUGUGCACCCACGGAGCCACAAAGGGCAGCAUGUGCCUCAGGCCUGCACAAAGGGAAGUAAAUCCAUCUGUGUCAGCAGGGAGAUGCUGAUUUAUGCCAGUGGAAGGGCCAGUCCCUUGGGGGAACUUCACAAGUGCUUUAGUCACACAUUCCAGUUCUUCAGGAAAUUUCUUUUGCAGAGACUCUGCAAAAUGCGUGUGUGUGCAUGUGUGGAGCUCUUGUCAGGGCUUUGGAGCAAAGCUGUUUUUCUUUGCUGCCUCUGGGUGGGAAUAGUAUUACCAUGGCUGCUUAUGGGGUGCAUCCCAGUUAUUCAACCACAAGGUCUUGCCCCACCCC
rnacentral:lncRNA from 1 species